UGUUCGGAUUAAGCAUGCUAUGCUAAA
rnacentral:sRNA from 1 species